UUAUCCCGCCCACGUUUUACUGCAGAGGCUUCUGUUGCUGUCUAUCAAGUAUAGCCACGCCCCCUGGCUCCGCCAACUUUAACGAUUUAUUUAAAAUUCAGUAUUGAUUUAUUUUAAGAUCGGCCACCUGAUCUCUCAUUUUGACCAUAAAAACUAACAGGAAAAAAAUCCUGAGCUGUAGAAAAUCAGUCUAUCAAAUUUUAUUUUUUCCAAAAAUGAAUUGGGGUCUAUGGAGCAAAAGCUUUUUGGAGCCAACCCUAGCGGACGGCGGGAUAUUGCAAGUUUUUGACACUUCCGGAUUGGCUUCAAUUCUGGAGCCAGAUGCUACGUCCACUAUAUAUACAGUCUAUGAUUUUGACAGGUUUUCAAGCUCCGAGCAGAUCAGACCGAACCAAUCAGAGCACCAGAGGCGGGAGUUAACGAUGCGACCGCAACAGAGCAAGGUUUCUCUCGUGCGGUUUCCUCUGUUUUGCACGGGCUGAAUUUGUCCUUAAAACCUCAACAAGAAGCAGCUCGUAAAGCUUUUCUUUUUAAAAAGGAUGUAUUUUUAAUUCCGGCAGGCUGUACAAUAGAAUGCGUAAUGCUGCCCUCCACUGUUGAAAGGGAGAGCUUAGAUUUUCCUCAGGACCCCUGUACGGCGAAGGAAGCAUCUUGGUGCAGAUGAUCAAUUUUAUCAAAUUUGACCACCACCGUGGAUGAAGUUGAACUAUAAGGGCAGAAUUCAAGAGAAUCGUCACCACAGACCUUCUGGAAAAUUUUCUCCACAGACUUGAUGAUCUGGUCCCAAGACUGCUUGAGCUAUACAAAGCAGGAACCAAGUCUGGAAAGAAGCAGUCUCUCAAAGCAAUUCUGGACUGUCUUGCUAAAGAUGAAACAAAUGAGAGGAGAAGGGUGGCUGUCCUACUUGGUCUGCCACACUACAUAUCAGGCGAAGAUCCAUCAAAUAUCAUCAGGAUGUGUGAUGCUCAUGUUGGGAUUCUGGAUGAAGCCAUGAAGGGGAUGCAGCUUGGCCUCCUGAUAGGCUUUGAAGGUGGUCAACAAGGUGCCAUUCCAGUUGAGAUCUUCGAUGUGGCAGUUGUGGUCGAGGAGACCAUUGUGCUUCACAACAUUAAAGAUGUGGCACAAAGCUUCGCCAUGCUUAUGGGCAUCAUCUACUGUGUGAAUCUCAAGUAUCCCGAUGCCAUGAAGUACUCAUUUGAGUUUCUUCAGAGAGUUGUGAUGAAGAUUAAACCAGACCAGGCCUCGGCUUGAGCACAUGGACUGAGAAACAAAAUCUUGAGGUACAAACUGUAACAGCUUGAUUUUUUUCAAAACAACACUGUUUGUGUGUGCAUGUUGAGGACUGUUAACUAUUUUCUACAUAAACCUACAGGAUUGUCCUGAACUAUGUUCAGUGAAAAACAACACUGCGUGUGAGGGUAAAUGUGGAGGUUGAGACUGUUUACUGUUCACUGUGUACUUUCCAGGACUCUCUUGUGAAAUUAUACUGUUAUCUGCAUGGCUACACUUGUUUUCAUGUUAUCCAAUUUUUGGGGUAAUUGUGAAAAUAAAUGUUUGAACAUUUGA